CGCAUCUGUGCAUGCAGCAUAUCAAUAAGCGGAGGAAAAGAAACUAACAAGGAUUCCCUCAGUAACGGCGAGUGAAGCGGGAAGAGCUCAAAUUUGAAAUCUUGAAAGGUCACCUUUCACGAAUUGUAGUUUAAAGAAGUGUUUUCUGUUACGAUCGUAAUAUAAGUUCUUUGGAAUAGGACAUCACAGAGGGUGAGAAUCCCGUCUAUGAUUGCGAUUUGUAGCUUUGUGAUACACUUUCAAAGAGUCGGGUUGUUUGGGAAUGCAGCCCAAAACGGGAGGUAAAUUUCAUCUAAAGCUAAAUAUUGGCGAGAGACCGAUAGCGAACAAGUACCGUGAGGGAAAGAUGAAAAGAACUUUGAAAAGAGAGUUAAACAGUACGUGAAAUUGUCAAAAGGGAAGCGUUUGACACCAGUGUUGUUUUUCUGAAAAUCAAUUAAAGAACUGUUUAUGCUAAGCUGUUUAGACUUUAUCAGCUAACUGUUUAGUUUUGAGCUUUUCUUUAAUGCACUUUUCAGUUAACAAGUCAACAUCAAUUUCUUUUGCUGUAAAAAAGCUUGAGGAAGGUGGCUUGAGAUUCGUCUUAAGUGUUUAUAGCCUCUUGCCUAUGCAGUCGGAGAGAUUGAGGUCUGCAGCGUAGAUCCUUCGGGGCUAAAUACAUUUGUGCUAAGUUAUAGCUUUUUAUAAACAACUUGUUGAUUAUGUUUUGUCUAUUGCAUACUCGCUUGUACUAUCAUACCUACGCUUAGGAUGUUGACGAUCAGCUGAGCGC
rnacentral:rRNA from 1 species